rnacentral:tRNA from 1 species
GGCGUGUUCGUCUAGGGGUCUAGGACGCUGGCCUCUCACGCCGGUAACACGGGUUCGAAUCCCGUACACGCUAC